rnacentral:rRNA from 1 species
GUCUUGUUGAUUAUAAUUUCAAGUCUGACCUGCCCAGUGAUGAGAUUUAACGGCCGCGGUAUUUUGACCGUGCAAAGGUAGCAUAGUAAUUAGUUUUUUAAUUGAAAGCUUGAAUGAAAGGUCUGAUGAAAAAAAGACUGUCUCUAGAAAAAUUUUUAUAGAAUUUUAUUUUUAAGUAAAAAAGCUUAAAUGUGAAUAGAAGACGAGAAGACCCUAUAGAGUUUAAUAUUUUGCAAGUAGAGGAGUUUUAGGAUUAUGAAAAUUUUAUUAUUUGUAUUGGUAUUUUAUUGGGGUGAUAGAAAAAUUAAAUGAACUUUUUUUUUAUUUAAAUACAUUUAUUUAUGGAUAGGUGAUCCUAUUGUUUAGAUUAUAAGAUUAAAUUACCUUAGGGAUAACAGCGUAAUUUUUUUUAGAGUUCUUAUCGAAAAAAAAGAUUGCGACCUCGAUGUUGGAUUAAAAUUAAUUGUUGGUGUAGAAGCUAAUAAAUUAGGUCUGUUCGACCUUUAAAAUUUUACAUGAUCUGAGUUUAAACCGGUGUGAA